UACGGGGGGGGCAAGCGUUGUUCGGAAUUACUGGGCGUAAAGGGCGCGUAGGCGGCCUGCUAAGUCGGAUGUGAAACCCCUCGGCUCAACCGAGGAACUGCAUCCGAUACUGGCGGGCUUGAAUCCGGGAGAGGGAUGUGGAAUUCCAGGUGUAGCGGUGAAAUGCGUAGAUAUCUGGAGGAACACCGGUGGCGAAGGCGGCAUCCUGGACCGGUAUUGACGCUGAGGCGCGAAAGCUAGGGGAGCAAACGGG
rnacentral:rRNA from 1 species